ensembl:lncRNA
GGUUAAGCCAACAUUGGAUGCCAUGCCUUCCUGCAAGGGGAGUGAUUUUAACUAUGGCUAGAUUUGGUCCAUUAACGCUCCGUGAAGGAUUUGGGGUCUGUGUUCCUGAGGCUUAUCGGGCCAUGGCUUCUUUUCUUGUGAUGCCUUUGGCUGGAUUAUCCAGAUAAUUCUUCACCGAAUGAAUCGAGCUGCAGUCCCUCCGCUUCAGUUUUCGGAGUGGUUUGUGAAAGUUCCUUGGGCGGCGAAGGCCCGACCCCACCAGCUGUUUACAAUCCAUCAUCCAGCAGUUUCCAUGUGGUUGUCAUGCUGCUUGUGACGGGAAAGAGAAUCUCGGUGUCCAAAUACUGGACUUGCAGCUUCAUAAAUCAGGAAGCUCUCGCCAUUCAAAUCAUCAUAUUGACAGCAAAUUUGCAUAAUUUUCCUAGUUUGCUUUGCGGUUGAGGUCAGGUCUCUCCUGUUCUCAGUGGGUGGCCCCUGGGAAGCGGCCAAGUGGGGGCCUUAAACUGGGGGGGCAUCAGAGGCGCUUGGAGGGGUGAGAGAAGCCUGGGCGGAUGUGUGUGGGGGGUCUCUCUGGGGAGCAGCUUGCCAGGCCUCAGUGACAAUGCCUACCCACGGUGGCACAGCCCAGGAGAGCUGGGGUCUUCCCCGGAGACAGCAGGGACCUUCCUCCAGAGCAGGGUCUCAUGCCAACUGAUAAAUGGGCAGAGGCCAAAAGCGGGUAGUUCAGAGCUGUGACAUCCAAAUGGCUACUACGUAUAUGAAAAAUGAUUUUCUCACCGGGAAUCAGAAAUGCAAAGCCAAGCAAUACGGCCCUCGUGUGUCACCCUCUGGGCUGAUGGUGUGACGGCCGAGAGCCUUGUUCAGCUCUGCCUCCUGGGACGGAACCGGCCGGUGUCCUUCCACACACUCCUUUGGGCCUGUCCACGCUGCUCUUGUCAAGCUGUCCCCAGGACAACGGAAAUGGACAACAGCGCUGCGCCUCUCGUGGCGCUGCGUGUCAUC